rnacentral:rRNA from 1 species
CCUACGGGCGGCAGCAGUGGGGAAUAUUGCACAAUGGACGAAAGUCUGAUGCAGCGACGCCGCGUGAAGGAAGACGGUCUUCGGAUUGUAAACCUCUUUCUUAGGGGAGGAAAAUGACGGUACCCAAAGAGGAAGCACCGGCUAACUACGUGCCAGCAGCCGCGGUAAUACGUAGGGGGCGAGCGUUAUCCGGAAUUACUGGGUGUAAAGGGAGGGUAGGGGGGCGGGAAAGUUAAAUGUUAAAUGUACGGGCUUAAAUGAUAGCUGCGUUUAAAACUGCUUGUCUUGAGUGAAGUAGAGGUAGGUGGAAUUCCUAGUGUAGCAGUGAAAUGCGUAGAUAUUAGGAGGAACACCAGUGGCGAAGGCAGGCUGCUGGGACUGAACUGACGCUGAGGCUCGAAAGCGUGGGGAGCAAACAGGAUUAGAUACCCCAGUAGUC